rnacentral:tRNA from 3 species
UCCCGCCUAGCUCAAUUGGCAGAGCAGCCGGCUGUUAACCGGCAGGUUACUGGUUCGAGUCCAGUGGCGGGAG